UGGGUCUCUAUGGGGUCGUGAAGUCAGUGGGAUUGGAGAUGGGGCUCUAUGGGGUCGUGAAGUCAGUGGGAUUGGAGAUGGGGCUUCAUGGGGUCGUGAAGUCAGUGGGAAUGGGGAAUGGGGCUUUAUGGGGUCGUGAAGUCAUUGGGAUUGGAGAUGGGGCUUUAUGGGGUCGUGAAGUCAGUGGGAAUGGGGUAUGGGGCUUUAUGGGGUCGUGAAGUCAGUGGGAAUGGGGAGUGGGGCUCUAUGGGGUCGUGAAGUCAGUGGGAAUGGGGAGUGGGGCUCUAUGGGGUCGUGAAGUCAGUGGGAAUGGGGUAUGGGGCUCUAUGGGGUUUUGAAGUCAGUGGGAAUGGGGUGUGGGGCUCUAUGGGGUCGUGAAGUCAUUGGGAAUGGGGAUUGGGGUUCUAUGGGGUCCUGAAGUCUUUGGGAUUGGAGCCCAUCCCCAUCCCAUCCCCACCCCAUAUCCCACCCCAUAUCCCACCCCAUCCCCGCUCCCACUCCACUGCUGGCCCCACUGCCCUCCCAUCGGCCCCAUUGCUCUCCUGCUGGCCCUAUUACUCUCCUGUUGGCCCCAUUACUUUUCUGUUGGCCCUAUUACUUUUCUAUUGACCCCAUUGCUUUUCUGCUGACCCCAUUGCUCUCCUGCUGGCCCUAUUACUCUCCUGCUGGCCCUAUUACUUUCCUAUUGGCCCCAUUGCUCUCCUAUCGGCCCCAUUACUUUCCUAUCGGCCCCACUGCUCUCCUGUCGGCCCCACUGCUCUCCUGUUGGCCCCACUGCCCUCCUGCUGGCCCCAUUACUCUCCUAUUAGCCCUAUUGCUCUCCUGUUGGCCCCAUUACUUUCCUAUUGGCCCUAUUACUCUCCUGCUGGCCCUAUUACUCUCCUAUCAGCCCCAUUGUUGUUCUCCUGGCCCCAUUGCUCCCCUAUCAGCCCCAUUGCUCUCCUGUUUGCCCCAUUACCCUCCUGCUGGCCCUAUUACUCUCCUACUGGCCCCAUUGCUCUCCUGUCGGCCCUAUUACUCUCGUGCUGGCCCCAUUACUUUCCUGUCAGCCCCACUGCCCUCCUGCUGGCCCUAUUACUCUCCUAUUGGCCCCAUUGUUCUUCUCCUGGCCCCACUGUUCUCCUGUCGGCCCCAUUGCUCUCCUGCUGGCCCUAUUACUCUCCUAUCGGCCCCAUUGCACUCCUGCUGGCCCCAUUGCUCUCCUCCUGGCCCCAUUACUUUUCUAUCGGCCCCAUUGCUCUCCUGUCGGCCCCAUUACUCUCCUAUCGGCCCCAUUGCUCUCCUAUCGGCCCCAUUGCUCUCCUGUCGGCCCCAUUACUCUCCUAUCGGCCCCAUUGCUCUCCUGUUGACCCCAUUGCUCUCCUGCUGACCCUAUUACUUUCCUGUUGGCCCCAUUUCUCUCUCAUUGGCCCCAUUGCUCCCCUCUGGGUCCCACUGCUCUCCUCCUGGCCCCAUUACUUUUCUCUCGGCCCCAUUGCUCUCCUAUCGGUCCUAUUACUCUCCUAUCAGCCCCAUUGCUCUCCUAUCGGCCCUAUUAUUCUCAUAUCAGCCCCAUUACUUUCCUAUCGGCCCCAUUGCUCUCCUGCUGGCCCCAUUACUUUUCUGUUGGCCCUAUUACUUUUCUAUUGACCCCAUUGCUUUUCUGCUGACCCCACUGCUCUCCUAUCGGCCCUAUAACUCUCCUGUCAGCCUCAUUGCUCUCCUGUUGGCCCCAUUACUUUCCUAUCGGCCCCAUUGUUCUCCUGUUGGCCCUAAUACUUUUCUAUUGACCCCAUUGCUUUUCUGCUGGCCCCAUUACUUUCCUAUUGGCCCCAUUGUUCUCCUGUUGGCCCCAUUACUUUUCUGUUGGCCCUAUUACUUUUCUAUUGACCCCAUUGCUUUUCUGCUGACCCCACUGCUCUCCUAUCGGCCCCACUGCUCUCCUGUCGGCCCCAUUGCUCUCCUGCUGGCCCCAUUACUUUCCUGCUGGCCCCAUUGCUCUCCUGCUGGCCCUAUUGCUCUCCUGCUGGCCCUGUUACUCUCCUAUUGGCCCCAUUGCACUCCUGUCAGCCCUAUUACUCUCAUGCUGGCCCCAUUACUUUCCUAUUGGCCCCACUGCUCUCCUGCUGGCCCUAUUACUCUCCUGCUGGCCCCAUUUCUCUCCUCCUGGCCCCAUUGUUCCCCUAUCAGCCCCAUUGCUCUCCUGUUGGCCCCACUGCCCUCCUGCUGGCCCUAUUACUCUCCUAUUGGCCCCAUUGUUCUUCUCCUGGCCCCACUGUUCUCCUGUCGGCCCCAUUGCUCUCCUGCUGGCCCCAUUGCUCUCCUCCUGGCCCCAUUACUUUUCUAUCGGCCCCAUUGCUCUCCUCCUGGCCCUAUUACUCUCCUGCUGGCCCCAUUGCUCUCCUAUUGGCCCUAUUAGUCUCCUAUCGGCCCCAUUGCUCUCCUCCUGGCCCCAUUACUUUCCUAUUGGCCCCAUUGCUCUCCUGUCGGCCCCAUUGCUCUCCUGCUGGCCCUAUUACUCUCCUAUUGGCCCCAUUGCUCUCCUGUCGGCCCCAUUACUUUCCUAUCGGCCCCAUUACUUUCCUAUCGGCCCUAUUACUCUCCUGCUGGCCCCAUUGCUCUCCUGCUGGCCCUAUUACUUUUCUGUUGGCCCUAUUACUUUUAUAUUGACCCCACUGCUUUUCUACUGACCCCAUUGCUCUCCUGCUGGCCCUAUUGCUCUCCUAUCGUCCCCAUUGCUCUCCUGCUGGCCCCAUUACUCUCCUGUCAGCCCCAUUGCUGUCCUGCUGGCCCCAUUACUCUCCUGUCAGCCCCACUGCUCUCCUGUUGGCCCCAUUGCCCCCAUAUCAGCCCCACUGCUCUCCUCCCGGCCCCAUUGCCUUCCUUUUGGCCCCACUCCUCUCCUCUGGGCCCCACUGCUCUCCUUUUGGCCCCAUUGCUCUCCUGCGGUUGUGGGGUGGAGGAUAUGGGGUGGGGGUUGUGGGGUGGAGGUUAUGGGGUUGGAGACACCGUGGGGUCUUUCCCAGGGAGGGGGCGAAGCGCUGCUGCACGGAAGGUCGGCUCAGGGAAGGUGGCACAGUGUGACUUCCGCCUCUCCUUCCUCCUCAUCUUCCUCCUCCUCUUCCUCCUCACCUCCCUCCUCUCCUCACCUUCCUCAUCUCCCUCCUCAUCUUCAUCCUCUCCUUCCUC
rnacentral:lncRNA from 1 species